rnacentral:lncRNA from 1 species
UCACUAUUUCCGAAACUUGGAGAGGGGAGUGGCAGUCUCUGGAUGAGAAGCCUCCAGUGCCUGUUCCCACCACCGCUAGACUGCACUCCUUCUGGCGCGCUGCUGUCUCAGCCAUCGCAGACGGAAAUCCUUCAAACACCAUGAACCAACAUGAACUUUAAGCCAUGAAAUGGCUUCUGCUCUGUGCUCUGUCACAGCUGCAAACAAAGGAAUCAGCCCAUGACUUGAGUUGAGUGGAGUCUGCGUUCCUGGGUGAAGUUGCAGGAUCACUUUCAUUUGAAGGGCGCUCCUGUUCACAGUCCCUCCUCAUUGAAGUCCCUCUGCGUGGGUGGUCACUCAGGGGAGCUUUCUGAUGAGAUCUCUUUUCUGUAUUUCCUUCAUGGUGUUGAGAAUGGUCAUGUGGCAGACUACAGUCUUCCCACUUUCACCCUCCACCUCUGAAAUGAGGAGAGGGCCCCUAAGUGUGUAUGGAAAAACAGAAUUUAAUAACACCAAAGAGAUAAAUGUACCUCAACAGGAUCAGAAAUGAUCUAGUGGCAUAGAAAAACAUUUGUGCAAGUUUAAGACAAUUCACCCUGGAUCCUUUGUUAGAGCACGUCUUCAGUCCUUAAGCAGAAUUCCCAGGUUCCUUUGGGUAUAGAACAUACAAGCUGAGGCUACAGCAAGCUCGUAUGAAUGCCAGUGAAAGUGGCAAACACUAAAUAAAACAUUGGACGGGACAUAAUGCAACUCGCAAGUAUAUUUAAGUCAAAAGUCUCAAGGAAAGUUCAGGUUGAGAUUAGGAACGGCUCUGGGAUAUGCCGCAACACUUUCAAGGGCUGCCAACCGUGUUUUAGGUGACUUUGCUAGAACUCUUUGGAAAACACUAUGCAUGGGAUGUGUUAUAUACAGCUAAAUUCCUGAAGCUAAAGACCUCGGGUUCUGUCCUGGGACGGGCAAUGCCUCUUGUGAGGUCUCUGUGUGGUUGAUGGGCAUAUAGACGUUUUCUGGAUCCCCCACCACAACACUGGAUGUACUUUCAUCUACAACAAAUACUUGGUGCUCAGGAUGGGCAGAAGGCAGCUGUGAGAGCACCCCUCUCUGCUAUCUUUUACUUACAGAUCAGAAGCCACUAAAGCAGCUGGUGUUCCCUUCACCUGACCUUCCCAUUCUGAUUGCAUCCUAAGCUCUGCUAACCAUGCACUGAGUCCAUUCGUGAAUUCCCCCAAACCAAAGGAGCCAUCCACUUGUGACCAGAAGCUCUAAUCACCCCUCCCCCAAACCCCUUCCUUCUCAAGCAUACCAUUCUCUUGCAUUUGGUGCGAAGGUAUUAUGACCCGUUUCAUGCCGGCUCCUUAUCCUACUCGCUGUUCUAGCCAAACAGUAUGAGCAGAACACCCUUUUCAAUGGCAUCAGAUCUCCACUUUACCCUUCCAACUCAAGGACCCAAGAGUCAGUGGGUCAUUUAGGUAUGGAUCUAGAGAUAUCAGUCUGUCCAUCUUCUCAGACUUUCACACUUCUACCGACAUCUACGUCCACUCCUCUGUUCAUUGUAGCCUUUGUCCCAUGGAUCGCAAUUCCGAGAGACGGCAGCAGCAGGUGAGGUCAGGCUCCCACUGCUUGCUUAUGUUUGUGCUUUCAAGUUUAGUAUAGAACUUUUAUCUGACUGGCCUUUCAUCUCAAGAUUUAAUUUUUUCACCUACUAGCAAAGGGGUCUGAUGUUCGAAUGGGAGCUUUAAGAGAACAGACUAUACAGGCUUAGAGAGAAUGGUUGAGACUUUGCCUGCCUCCCAGGUGUGGCCAAUACUGCCACACUGGGCAUGCUGCCUUUAAUACUUCAUUCUUGAUAAUUCAGCAAGCUUGCUAUGAAUAUGCUCAAAUGUUCAGAAACCCCAAUAUCUUUGGUGCAGAGAAC